CCCGGUCAAGUUGCAUUACUUAAGAUCCACUCCCCAAAAACCUUCGAGAUAUCAGAUAAGGAGUGCCUCUCGCUUAGUUGGUCAGUUUCAGUGUCAGGAUAACCUUGUUAUGCAAUUUUCUUGCUGGGCAGAGUAUAGCUGUUUGCAGCUUAUCUAGGUCAAAAUUUGAAUUCAACUGAUGGACAAGAAGUGCGCGUUUCUUUGCUGUUCAUAUUUCAUGUGUUUUUCAAGCUAUAUACACAAGGAUUAAGGCUGGAAUAUCAACUUCUGCUCAUUCGCCGUAAGGUUCAAUCAACCAGUUAUGCAGGGAAUUGAUUGUAUAGUCAGCCUUGAUUGCAUCAGAUUCUUCUCCCGUGAAAAUUAUACAAAGGAAUGCAACAUUUUGUAAAGGGCACGGAGGGUGGAUUCUCCUGUUCAUUUCUUUCAUUCAUGGGACUUAACUCUAUGCGUGAUUAAAAUCAAUGGAUCCGCCACUUUGUCGAACUUAGAAGUGUAAGGCAUACGCGUACUUUGAAGGACCUGGAUAUA